rnacentral:rRNA from 1 species
UACGUAGGGGCAAGCGUUGUCCGGAUUUAUUGGGCGUAAAGAGCGUGUAGGCGGUUAGGUAGGUCCGUUGUGAAAACUCGAGGCUCAACCUCGAGACGCCGAUGGAAACCAUCUGACUAGAGUCCGGAAGAGGAGAGUGGAAUCCUGGUGUAGCGGUGAAAUGCGCAGAUAUCAGGAAGAACACCCGUGGCUAAGGCGGCUCUCUAGUACGGUACUGACGCUGAGGAGCGAAAGCGUGGGGAGCGAACAGG